GGGGCGCAGCAGGCGCGAAACCUUUACACUGCACGACAGUGCGAUAGGGGAACUCCGAGUGCGAGGGCAUACAACGCCCUCGCUUUUGUAGACCCUAAGGGCGGUCUACGAACAAGUGCUGGGCAAGACCGGUGCCAGCCGCCGCGGUAAUACCGGCAGCACGAGUGAUGGCCGAUAUUAUUGGGCUAAAGCGUCCGUAGCUGGCCGAACAAGUCUGUCGGGAAAUCCAGUGGCUCAACCACUGGGCUGCCGGCGGAAACUGUUCGGCUUGGGACCGGAAGACUCGAGGGGUACGUCCGGGGUAGGAGUGAAAUCCCGUAAUCUUGGACGGACCACCAAUGGCGAAAGCACCUCGAGAGCACGGAUCCGACAGUGAGGGACGAAAGCUAGGGUCUCGAACCGGAUUAGAUACCCGGGUAGUCCUAGCUGUAAACGAUGCUCGCUCGGUCUGGCGCAGGCUACGAGCCUGUGCUGUGCCACAGUGAAGACGCAAGCGAGCCGCCUGGGAAGUACGUCCGCAAGGAUGAAACUUAAAGGAAUUGGCGGGGGAGCACUACAACCGGAGGAGCCUGCGGUUUAAUUGGACUCAACGCCGGACAUCUCACCAGCACCGACAACGGUAAUGAUGGUCAGGUUGAUGACCUUACCCGACGCCGUUGAGAGGAGGUGCAUGGCCGCCGUCAGCUCGUACCGUGAGGCAUCCUGUUAAGUCAGGCAACGAGCGAGACCCGCAUCCCUAAUUGCCAGCAGCACCCUUGUGGUGGCUGGGUACAUUACGGAGACUGCCACGGCUAACGUGGAGGAAGGAACGGGCAACGGUAGGUCAGCAUGCCCCGAAUGUGCUGGGCAACACGCGGGCUACAAUGGCCCGGACAAUGGGUGACUACACCGAGAGGUGACGUUAAUCCCCUAAACCGGGUCGUAGUUCGGAUUGAGGGCUGAAACUCGUCCUCAUGAAGCUGGAUUCGGUAGUAAUCGCGUGUCAGAAGCGCGCGGUGAAUACGUCCCUGCUCCUUGCACACACCGCCCGUCAAAUCACCCGAGUGGGGUCCGGAUGAGGCUCGGAUACCCGAGUCGAAUC
rnacentral:rRNA from 1 species